UCUCUCUCUCACUCUCUAUUACUUUCUCUGUCUCUCUCUCUGUCUCUCUCUCUCUAACUCUCUCUAGCUCUCUCACUCUCUCUCUCUCUGUGCGUGCAGUUGUCAGACACAUCUGGCACUAUCAAUUUUCCUUAUUUUCUGCGCCAGCUGAUGUAAUCUUUUUCCCUCCAGAGCAGAGAUGCUCGCCGUCACGCCAACACGCUAACCUUCUACAACACUCACACGUUUUUCUGACUCUGUCAGGGCGAGACUCUUCUCCAGCGAUCCAUGAGGAGUUCUUCUCGUUGACUUCCUCAAAUCCAAGAUCUUAGUAAACACUUUUGCUUGAUCAUCUGAAUGAAGAUGUUUAGAGAACCGGCAGUCAUUUGAGUUUACAGCUGAAAUGAUAAAGUGAAGAAGAGAUCAAAGCCUGGACGGCGUUUGGCUCUCACCUGCUCUCUGGAUUGAAGGUCAGUCUAUUCUGAGACUCGGCUUAAGCUGACGCUUUCUACAUUCCCUUAUAAUUAGUGAGCUGGAGGGACGGCGGCUGUUCUUUAAAUAACACCAGCAGACAAAUCACACAACACCUAAACCUCAUGUACAGAAAAUCAACAAGUCAACUCAUUGUGCCGGCUGUUAAAUCCACAGUUGUGCUUCUACUGAUUUUGUUCUUUUGAUCUUCACCAAAUUCACCUUCAGAUGAUCCUCAAAAAUCAAGACGUACAAAAGUUAUAAACACCAGAGUCGAGACUUAAGAACAGAGAAACAUUCUUCUCUCGCAUUAGACCGCUGUUGAAUGUUGGGUUGUAGAAAUGUUUCCACCCAACUCACAUAACUAAUUCACCUUCUCAAUGUUAGUGAAAACUCCUCAUCGUGGAUUCUUCAUCUGAUUCGUGAUGUUCAGUGGUUUACAGGAGGUGUGGAUCAGCGCGUGGAUCAUCCGUGUGCUCAGUUGUGUGUUUUUUCUCCACUGAGAGAUGACUUACUUUAAUGAGACGCUCAUCUUUACUCGUGAUGACUGGAGUGUAAACAGCACUUGUCUGUUUUCUUUGGCUGCACCUCAACUCAGCGUGUGACGCACUUUCACAAAUCCUUCAGCUGGUGUGAACAAUCUCACACACACUAUGAUCAUAGACUGAAACACAAGUCAAUAAUAGUUGACAUGUGUGAUGCUGUAUGCUGAUUGGUUAAUACAGUGUUCCUGUCCUGUUAAAACAUUGAUGAUGUGAAGCAGCUGACAACUAUUCAAAUCAACUGUUUUUAUUUGUUCAACAUGAAGAUACACAGAAAAACAUGAUUAUGUGCCUUAGUAGAUUCUAUGAAAAGAAAUGAUUAAAAUAUACUUAAUAGAAUAAUGUUUCUGUUUUCAACAAAAAAAUAACGUCAAAAUCUUGGGAAUAAAAUAUACUAAUUUUGGUUGUUAAAAUUUUUAUUGUUUGUUUGAGUAAUUUUAAUUGAACAAAUUAUUAA